rnacentral:rRNA from 1 species
CACGUAGGGGACGAGCGUUGUCCGGAUUCAUUGGGCGUAAAGCGCGCGUAGGCGGCCUGGUAAGUCGGAUGUGAAAUCCCACGGCUCAACCGUGGAAGUGCAUUCGAAACUGCAGGGCUAGAGUCCUGGAGAGGAAGGUGGAAUGCUUGGUGUAGAGGUGAAAUUCGUAGAUAUCAAGCGGAACACCGGUGGCGAAGGCGGCCUUCUGGACAGUGACUGACGCUGAGACGCGAAAGCGUGGGGAGCAAACAGG